rnacentral:lncRNA from 1 species
AUGUGGCCAGCAUCACCGUGCGCCGUCCCGCGUCACCGGCAGCUCUCCGAGCCUCAUCUCACCACGAGCCAAGCUCAGGGGCGAAACGAGCUAAAAGCCACGGAGGGGAGAGGGGGGAGAGCCUUUGGAAAGCACCCGCAGCAGCUGCUGCCGCCGCCUAGACUUUCCCUUUCAUAUUUACAGCCACGUCUAUCGUCGUUUAUAGGGCGGACAAAUCGGGGCCUCGCUGGGUGUAGGCAACCGAGGAACAUAGCUGAAAUAUUUCGGCUGCGCUCUCCUCUGGAGGGCGGCUCCGUGCAGGGAGGAGGCACCCAGCGCGUGGGUGCCCCCGCCAGGGGGGGGGGCCCGGAGCAGUGUUUCUGCACCAGAUAUUGCUGUGGACCGAGGGCGAGCCGAGGGGCUGCAAGUGUUUUGGGAGGCAGGACGGGAGCCGAAAAUCGCCUCGGCAAGUCGAGGGGUGCGGGCGCAUCGCCGGCGGGCCUCUUUGUUUUCCCUUUGA